GAUGAAGAACGCAGCGAAAUGCGAUACGUAAUGUGAAUUGCAAAUUCAGUGAAUCAUCGAGUCUUUGAACGCACAUUGCGCCCCCUGGUAUUCCGGGGGGCAUGCCUGUCCGAGCGUCAUUGCUGCCCUCAAGCACGGCUUGUGUGUUGGGCCCCGUCCUCCGAUCCCGGGGGACGGGCCCGAAAGGCAGCGGCGGCACCGCGUCCGGUCCUCGAGCGUAUGGGGCUUUGUCACCCGCUCUGUAGGCACGGCCGGCGCUUGCCGAUCAACCCAAAUUUUUUAUCCAGGUUGACCUCGGAUCAGGUAGGGAUACCCGCUGAACUUAAGCAUAUCAAUAAGCGGAGGA
rnacentral:misc_RNA from 1 species